AGGUAUACAAUACACGCGUAUUUAAUCAUUCCUCAUACGAAUAACGAAGGACUAAACAGUGGUACGCGUUCAUAUUUCAUUCCAUACAACACCAUUGACCCAAAAGGUCGUGGUUUUUCAAAAUGAAGUGUUAUUUAUCAUUUCUGUUUUUUUGCUCUUUGAGUGUAAAUAUCAGAGCAGAAGAUGAGACAGUGUCAGUGGAUAAAAGUGUCUGGGAUAACAUCUACAAUGCAGCCAUAGUUGUAUGCGCCUGUACAGCUAAGCCGAUUCCAACUGUUCCACCACAAAAGUGUAGCAACCGGACACAGUUUGACAGAUUAUCUGUAGUUGAAGUCAGUAAGGCUGCUAGUCUUUGUGAGAACAUAAAUGCUGCCAAUAUAAAAUUGACAGGGUCGCCAAAACGCAAUGAUGGAACCAUGGAGCCAGAAACGACUGCCACCGUGAAGCCAGAAACCAAUGCCACCGUGAAGCCAGAAACGACUGCCACCGUGAAGCCAGAAACGACUGCCACCGUGAAGCCAGAGACGAAUGCCACCGUGAAGCCAGAAACGACUGCCACCGUGAAGCCAGAAACGAAUGCCACCGUGAAGCCAGAGACGAAUGCCACCGUGAAGCCAGAAACGACUGCCACCGUGAAGCCAGAAACGACUGCCACCGUGAAGCCAGAAUCGACUGCCACCGUGAAGCCAGAAACGAAUGCCACCGUGAAGCCAGAAACGAAUGCCACCGUGAAGCCAGAGACGAAUGCCACCGUGAAGCCAGAAACGACUGCCACCGUGAAGCCAGAAACGAAUGCCACCGUGAAGCCAGAGACGAAUGCCACCGUGAAGCCAGAGACGAAUGCCACCGUGAAGCCAGAAACGACUGCCACCGUGAAGCCAGAAACGACUGCCACCGUGAAGCCAGAAACGAAUGCCACCGUGAAGCCAGAGACGAAUGCCACCGUGAAGCCAGAAACGAAUGCCACCGUGAAGCCAGAGACGAAUGCCACCGUGAAGCCAGAAACGACUGCCACCGUGAAGCCAGAAACGACUGCCACCGUGAAGCCAGAAACGAAUGCCACCGUGAAGCCAGAGACGAAUGCCACCGUGAAGCCAGAAACGAAUGCCACCGUGAAGCCAGAAACCAAUGCCACCGUGAAGCCAGAAACGAAUGCCACCGUGAAGCCAGAAACGAAUGCCACCGUGAAGCCAGAAACGAAUGCCACCGUGAAGCCAGAAACCAAUGCCAGAGGAACACCAGGAAGCAAUAGAACGCCAGGAAGCAACAGUGGCCACGAUGCAGCAGCUGGUCAUCAGGUGGCCAACAAGCCGGAGCCGACGAAAGUUGCAAUCCAUGUCGUGGUAAUAGGAGUGUUCUGCGCCUUCGCUGCCGGAGUCCUCGUUGCCAUCGGCUGCAAAUACGCAUACGACCGCUAUAGAAAACGAUCUUACGGGGGUGCGAACAACCGGGCUUAGUGGGCAAAACAACGAAGCAACGUCGCCAAGAGGGUCCUGCCAACAUUUAAGUUCUUCCACCGGAGCAGGGCAUGCAAAUGUGAAAUGGAUUAGAUUUAGUUAGGUAACAUAAUAUAUGUUUUAGAGUACCCGCACACUACAAACUUUUUAUCGGGCUCAUACAUCAGAAAUAAGUACGCACAUUACAAAGGUCUGGUAUUUAGCCGGUAUCAGACAGAAAAUUUUGAUUCGCGUUAUAAUUUUCUUUAAAAAAGAAAAAUUGCCAAACAACGGACAACUGUUUAGUUUGUAGUGUGCGGGUUCUCUUAAUGUUUUUCACGGGUUUAAAGUAGUCAACUAAAUGCUGUUAUGAUCUGAAACAUUAAGCUCGCUUGCACCACCGAUCUUGACACUAAAUCGUAUUACUUAAAGAUACUCUGUUGGAAUUAUGUUUAAGUGUAAGUAGUAAGUUUAAAUUAUUAGAGAAAGAAGUGAUUUUCAAAGCGAUUUAUUAUAUAGGUAGGUACCGUAACCGUAUU